GGGUGCACCGCCGACCGACCU
rnacentral:snRNA from 1 species